rnacentral:rRNA from 1 species
UACGUAGGGUGCAAGCGUUAAUCGGAAUUACUGGGCGUAAAGCGUGCGCAGGCGGUUUUUUAAGCCAGAUGUGAAAUCCCCGAGCUUAACUUGGGAACUGCAUUUGGGACUGGAAGGCUUGAGUCCGGGAGAGGGGGGUGGAAUUCCCAGUGUAGCGGUGAAAUGCGUAGAUAUUGGGAGGAACACCGGUGGCGAAGGCGGCCCCCUGGACCGGUACUGACGCUGAGGCGCGAAAGCGUGGGUAGCAAACGGG